AAUACAUCAUAGUUCAAUAAUUUCCAAGUCUUUAAAUUGACUAAUGUAGCGAAUUUUGUAGAGGACGAAUAAUUAUGACAGAAUGCUUAAUCUGCUUUGGUGAAGUGCCGGACAGCAAAGGCUAAGCCCAAAAUCAUUAUGGGCACAAGGAACUGCAAAAUUCUGAUUACAAACUCUGAAGUUUUAUCUGGAUUGUAGGAUGCUUGCUGAGGUGGUAUGUAGGUGCGCGUUGUUGGAACUGUUGAAAGAUCUACCUGCCCAAUGUAGUACUUGGCCAUCAUAUCCCUGGCAGAAUUACUAUGACCUAUAUCCUCGAAAUCAUUGGUGGCAUCUUUUCCUGCAGAGAGAUUCAGAAGAGAAUUUUACUAUACUUUGUAAACAUAAAAGAACAUAAACUUCUGAAUUUUGACUGGUCUGAUUAUGAUUCCUUUCGAGUAAAGCAGAGAAAGCAUCCAACAAAAAUCGUAAUCACAAGGGGCAGCAAGUUACAAUACAAGGCAAGGGUCAAAAAGAAAAG
rnacentral:lncRNA from 1 species